rnacentral:misc_RNA from 1 species
GAUGAAGAACGCAGCGAAAUGCGAUAAGUAGUGUGAAUUGCAGAAUUCAGUGAAUCAUCGAAUCUUUGAACGCACAUUGCGCCCCUUGGUAUUCCAUGGGGCAUGCCUGUUCGAGCGUCAUUUGUACCUUCAAGCUCUGCUUGGUGUUGGGUGUUUGUCUAGCCUCUGCGCGUAGACUCGCCUCAAAACAAUUGGCAGCCGGCGUAUUGAUUUCGGAGCGCAGUACAUCUCGCGCUUUGCACUCAUAACGACGACGUCCAAAAGUACAUUUUUACACUCUUGACCUCGGAUCAGGUAGGGAUACCCGCUGAACUUAAGCAUAUCAAUAAGCGGAGGA